AAUAAGUACAGUUUUAACACUUUUCAUGCUCAACGCUCGACCGUUUGUCUUAUUUGAAAAACAAUUACAAACAAUUAUGAUUAGUAUUUUUAUUGUUAUUAGAUGAUAGGAAUUCCUAGAUGAUAAUACAUGAAUAGUAAUUUAUGUGUGACUAAUAUUUGUAAUUUUUUUUACAAAAUUUUCAAAUAAGACAGAUGUCAAAACGCGGGAUACGGAUAUCUAUAGCUGCACUUAUU
rfam:Oryza sativa (indica cultivar-group) chromosome 11, whole genome shotgun sequence.